ACUAUGUUUUAUUGACAGAGCUUUUGGGACAUACCUUUGUGUUGGGCACAGUGGCGUAUGAAUUUGAGAUGUAUUGAUAUUCUCUCACUUGCACUCACAUAGGAUAGAAGUGUCAUGCUUGAUGCAAACCCACAAGCUUUUCUUCCAUCUACUUCUUCACAAAGUGUAAUGGAAAAACAAUAUGUAGUUAUUUUAAAUCAUCUUCAUCCUGUCCUCUGUAUUGGCACAGCCGGCAAAAACACAGAGGUAGUGUCACGUUGUGCCACGUUGCUCUUAAAAAUUGAGACAGUGGAAGUAAAUCUGUCAUCCACUCUCGCCUGUGUGGCCAGUAAAUUAGAAGAUUUUGGAGAAAAAAAACGAACGUCGAUUUACAAUGUGCACCACAAAA